UUCGCGCUUAAUGAAAUUUUUUCAAGGCAAAGUUUCCAACUUACCCGCCAUUCGAAUUCACAGAGGUUUUCUUCUUCACCUUCCUAUGUCUCUUGCCGUCGCCGCCACUUACCACCGCCGUCUCGUGCACUCACCACCGUCGUCUCGUGAGCUCACCGUCGCAGCUCACAAUCGUCGUCCCGCGCGCUCACCGUCGCUGCUCCCAAUUGUCGCAAGCCUCCUUGGCUCAUCAUCGUAGCUCACAUCGUCGUCUCGUCACUCACCAUCGUGCACUCACUAGAUAAUCAUUCUCUGAUUCACUCUCUAUCUUCUCUUUCUUGCUCAUUAACUCACUUCUUCUCUCGUUUCAGUGUCGAAGAAGGUGCGUGUGGCUUUGAUGAUGAUGAUGAUGAACAACAAUGGCCAAACGAGACAGAGAUGGUAGCUGAAGUGAGACAGAGAGUUUCUAACAUGGCAGGGGUUACGAAAGAGGAAGUUCGAAUUGUGGCAUCUUCCUAUCGAAUUUGUCCUUUAGGGGCUCAUAUUGAUCACCAGGUACUUAAGUAUAUGUCUUUCUAUUAUGACAGUACAAUUUUAACUCAAUGAUUGAUCUUGAACACAAGUUUUAUCAGAAAUGUGAAUAAGCAAUGCAUACCAGAGCUGUUUACUUAUUCAAUUUCCUGGCAGCUUUCUCAUGAGAUUUUGAAGAGCAAGUUCGAUUCAGGUUUAUCAGUGAUCAUAAAGUCUUGUUGUUUUCUCCUAAGUAUUUUGUUGAAGUUUUCACCCCAUCACUUGUAAAAUUAUCCUGUCAGCUGCAUUCACUCGGAUGUGUGCCACUUCUGUGGAAACAAUUAGUCUUACAACUUGGGCCCAGUGUCAAUUGUGAUACUAAUUAGCUCGUUGGCAUUUCAACUGUCAGUUAUGAUCUUGUGUUAUUCUCAUUUUCAUUGUUGUAUCUUUUCUUAUCUUCUCUUCCACUUUAUAUUAAAAACCUUGUUUGGCUAGGGAUUUCUAUGUAUAUCCUUGCUGCCUACUCCAAUUAUGCAUUUUUUUAUUAAUAAUAUGCUGAGUUACUUAUCCAAAAGUGGGGAAAAAAUAAUUU